ACUCAAAUGAAUUGACGGGGGCCCGCACAAGCAGCGGAGCGUGUGGUUUAAUUCGACGCGACGCGAAGAACCUUACCAGGGCUUGACAUGACCACCGAUGUUCCAGAGAUGGGGCAGCCCUUCGGGGGGUGGCCACAGGUGUUGCAUGGCUGUCGUCAGCUCGUGCCGUGAGGUGUUGGGUUAAGUCCCGCAACGAGCGCAACCCUCGUCGCUAGUUAGGCUGUCUAGCGAGACUGCCGGAAGCAAACCGGAGGAAGGCGGGGAUGACGUCAAGUCAGCAUGGCCCUUACGUCCUGGGCUACACACACGCUACAAUGGCCGGUACAACGGGUAGCAAGAGCGCGAGCUGGAGCUAAUCCCAGCAAAGCCGGUCUCAGUUCAGAUUGCAGGCUGCAACUCGCCUGCAUGAAGGAGGAGUUGCUAGUAACCGUGGGUCAGCACACCGCGGUGAAUAUGUUCCCGGGCCUUGUACACACCGCCCGU
rnacentral:rRNA from 1 species